rnacentral:rRNA from 1 species
GAGAGUUUGAUCCUGGCUCAGGAUGAACGGCUGGCGGCGUGCUUAACACAUGCAAGUCGAACGAAGCGCUACCGACGGAACUUUUCGGAGGGAAGAUGGUAAUGACUGAGUGGCGGACGGGUGAGUAACGCGUGGGUAACCUGCCUCACAGAGGGGGACAACAGCCGGAAACGGCUGCUAAUACCGCAUAACAAGGGAUUGCCGCAUGACGAUCCUUUCAAAGAUUUAUCGCUGUGAGAUGGACCCGCGUCUGAUUAGCUUGUUGGUGGGGUAACGGCCUACCAAGGCGACGAUCAGUAGCCGGCUUGAGAGGGUGAACGGCCACAUUGGGACUGAGACACGGCCCAGACUCCUACGGGAGGCAGCAGUGGGGAAUAUUGCACAAUGGGGGAAACCCUGAUGCAGCGACGCCGCGUGAGUGAAGAAGUAUUUCGGUAUGUAAAGCUCUAUCAGCAGGGAAGAUAAUGACGGUACCUGACUAAGAAGCCCCGGCUAACUACGUG